rnacentral:tRNA from 1 species
GGGCAGGUGGUGAAACUGGUCAGACACUGGAGACUUAAAAUCUCCCGGCCGCAAGGCCAUGUGGGUUCGAGUCCCACCCUGCCCA